UUCCCAUCCCUUCUCUUCUAAUGCUAACACCAUCAGAUCUCUAGGCACAUGCAUACAUUCCUUCCACUAAUCAGGAUUAUUCCACAAAUCAAAAAAGAGAAAAAAAAAGAGAAAAAAAAACCAAAACAGCAUAUGGCGGGUGGUCCAUUACAUUCCUUUAACAAAACAGCAUUAUUUGCAAAAUGGUAUUUGUAAUUUUCAGUCCCAUUUAUUGGUCACUUUUCACAACCAUUAAGCUUAUUUAAUGGCCACCAAUGAUUCAACAAGUUGUUUUCAUGUCUGGGGGUCACCCCUCCCAAACCCCCAACCUUUUCCAGUUCCUUAGGACACAAUCCAAAAGGGAACCCUUUGGGAUCCCUUCUCGUGGGAGCUAUGAACAUAGCCCCACUCCCAUAUUUACCAUUUUAGGAAAAAACCUUUUAACAUCUUUAAAACUUUUUACAAACUUUCUGUAACUUCUUACAAUCUUUCACAACUUUUUACAACCUUUCCCAAAACCCAGGCUGGUUUGAAAAAUCCCUGAGCCUCACACUGCAAACUUUCUAUUAGUGCAACUUAUGGGCAGGAAAAAAAUCUUCAAAUAAAGUACUUUAAGUGAUGUUGUAUUAUUUCUCCCAGAAAGGGCAGAGUGGUCUACUCACCAGACCAGGAAAUAGGAAGAUCUCCCUGAAAAUAUUCUGGUGUGCACUGGAGUGCUGACGAUUCCUCUCGUCCACUGAGUUGGCACCUCUUUGUCCCAUCUGGGGUACCAGAAACUGCCACCAAAAGCUGGGAAAUAAACUCUUUAACCAAUUUGUUGGGGUAGAAAGUCAACAUAACUUUAUUUGGUGUUAGGGUACAUGGGGAUAGCUCCACAGAACAUGCCAGUUAUCAAAACCUUUAACUAUUCAUACAUCUGAGCAAAGAAGUUAGUAUUCAUUGGCUUACAAGCUACAUAGUUCUCUCCAUUAAAUAGUAUUCUAUUACCUAUUGUUAUUUAUUUAUUGCUUCUAAUGCCAAUUAAUCCACAUCUUUAGUAUUUUUAUUAUUUAUUUAUUUUUCCCAGGUAGAGAGAAUCUCAGUAAUUUUCUUUGUUAGUUUCUCCUUCAUCUCCAGUUUCUCUAAGUGUCUUUGGUUACAAAUUCUGCAUUCUUUGUGGCCAGGUCUCAACGACAAAUUUCUCUCUCUGGUCGAAGAGCACUGAAGCACACCAGUCCCUAAAUUGGUAAUUUGUUUUUCUAACACAUAGGCACCAUCACCCAUAGCUUGCCUGUCAUCUGUUACCCAAUUCAUGGAUUAAAUAUUCUUAAAGCAAUUUCCCUCCCGACACUGCCGCACAGGCUCCUUUUAAGAGAAAUAUUAACUUGUUUGGUAACAGUGCCACCCUUAGGUUCCCCUAAAACACGGAGCACUUGAGAAAAACCGGUUUUCAGAAACAUCCCACUGGCCCCACUGUUGCUCCUUUGUUUUCACAGGAACAAUGAUGCCCCUCCCCAACAAGCCACUCCCAAUCACUGGCUGGAACAAAUGGAUCUCAAACUCUGCUUUGCAAGUCUGGACUGUUCUUUACUGCUGCUUUUGGUCAUGCAGCAAUUGUGAUUGUGUUCCUUAAUCUCCUCAUUACAUCAUUUGUAUGCCUUUAAGCAACUGUAGCUGAAGCUGGGCCAUACAAGAAGUAUGGCAAGAAAGAGAAGCCUUUUUUGUAAAAUAAAAAGCUAAGAAAUUGUAGAAAAUAGAGCAGCGAGACAGCAGCCCAGCAUGGACAACACAGAGUGCUUUCCUAGAGGAAAGGAAAACAUUUAGACAAUUAAACAUUGUUUACUGGGAGUGAGUAACCCUGUGCCCUCAUCCAAGACCAAUGUGCCCAUACUGGCUCUGAAGGUGCUACAGAUCCAGUGCCAAGGGAAACUGGUGACCAGUCACGAGGGACACAGCAGAGACACCAGGCAAGGACCGUGCCACGGGUGGCAGCGAGCAGAUCAGAAGCACGAGUGCCUUCAGGUAUGCCACCUGUGGUUUAAUCACUGUUCAGACCACAAAGCACAAAUUCCCUGACAAAAGACACUUUGAUGUGCAGAGUCCACACUUAAGAUUAAAUAAAAAAAAAAAUUUCUGUCUCCGGCUCCUAUGGAUGCAGCAUUGGCAACACUUGGGAAAUCCCUCGUGGAAUGUACCACAUGAUACUGCAGUACAGAACGUGCUCACAGCGUUCUGACACUCUGGGUUAAGAAAAAAUAUAUUGUUUUGACAGUCCUUGAAGGAGCACUUUGUGCUGGCAGUCCAGGGUAGGAAAAUUAGCCAACACCAUUUCCAGUUCCUCCCUCUGGCAAAUGAAUCCAGAAGGUGGAGUUUGUCACAUGCCCAUGGGCUGACAUUUUAACAACCCUAAGUCAGAUGUUUAGAUGUUUGUCGCUGCUUCUGUAUGUAUCAUCUUCCUGCCUGUUUUGCCAGUGACGUUGUUGUUAUUAUUGAAGCUGAAGGAGAGAGCUGGGAAUUCGGUGCCUGACAAAGUGGGGAAGCAGGAGGAGCAAGUCUUGGGGCUGCACAGCCAGAGCUGCACCAUCAGGGCAGGGAGAAACUUCAGUCAGGGCAUUUGCUGAGGAGAAGUCACCGAGCAAUCUGCUCACAGGGCCAUGUCUUUGCAUCAGAACAGGAAAAAAAACUGGCACUUUUCUCUGAUUUGUCAUGAGAAAUUAAAACCAGGUGUUACCUUAGCUGCCUUGGGAGCAGUCCUGGGGAUAAAACCAGCUAUUCACAGGAUAAGAGGAGUUUGAGAUCAGUCUCUUUAAAUUGUCAGAAUAUGCUGGUGGCUUAGGUGAAAGACUAGAAAACUUACUCUCUUUUGUGCUUGAGGAACAUCACUGCAAACCUUCAGUACACCUCAGCAACUGCUGUGCUACAGGCAGUCAGGAAGCAAGGAGGCCAAACACAGGCUUCACAUAAAAGUUUAAUGCCAUGAAACCAGAAUUUUCCUUGGGUCUAAACCCUGGGGUUCCUUCAGUCCGAGCUAUUUGCUUUGGAACUGCAAAAAAAUAAUUCCUUCCUUCUGACUCAUCCCUCUGAGCUCCUCUGACCUGGCAACCAUGGGAGAACAUUUACGUGUCCUAGGACAGACAGAAACGUGUUGAUGGUGCUUCCUGUACAAACCCGGUGCACAUGAAGUAGAGAAAGCUGGGACACGGUGGCUGGUGACAUUCCCACUGUGGCCUGCUUGAUCCUCAGGAGAUUUAGGCAUGCACCUGCUGGAACUCACCAUUAGCAAGAAGUCACACCACCCCAUACUAAAUAAAAGUAUUUGGUAUAAAAAAAAAGUACCAGUAAUAAAAGCUUAGAAAGUAAAGGACUUGCCAGAGUUUUUGCAGACACACUUCAGCCAUCCAAAAGUAGGUGUCAUGAUUCAGGUGAGAAGAAUCACACCCCAACACACCUUUUCCUACCCCUGGUCAUCUUCAGCCAAGACAAGGGGUUGAAUUAGGAAAUCUGUGUCUUUUUAGCUCUGCCUUUGGUGUGGCCAUGGAGAAUCACCUUAUACAUCUGGCUGUUCCACUCAUAGUCUGCUAUGGCUAAAACACCUGCAGAGAUAAAAGAUCAGCCUUGGCAAAGUUGUGUUUCCUCUAGGUAAAGUAUGUAAAGAAAAGAUAAUUUAAUACAAUUCAACUCAUUGUCCCUAGGGUAGCAGCAAUUGAUUUUUGUCCUGAUUUGAGCAUGCUGAGCCAUUCAUUAAUACCUGCUCUUCUGCUGAUCAGUGAAUAAUUGUGAGUUGAUCUACUCCUAGGAAAAAAAACCCAGAUAUUGUAUGUGCCAGCUGAGUAACUGGGGCCGAAGUCGGCUCGGUGUUUUGGCUUCUUUGCAGACCUUUAGCUGCCUGCUGUUUGCAACAUGCAUCUGGUGUGACCCAUCACACGGCAAUGCUUUCUGCCACCAAGGUGCUACAAACAAGGCAACCACCCAAACCCCAGCAGCCACGGGGCUGGUCCGAGUGAAACAGAGAAUUCUGGAAUUCACUGAAGUUAACAAAAUGAAUUAAGCAUUUCUAUUUUAGCUUGUAAAAUUAUGUGUUGAAUUUUAACCUUUUACUUAAGAAACCUCCGCCAAGGUACAAAAGGGCAUAAGAAAAUGCAAAUUACUGAAGCUUCUUGCAUAAGCAAUAACAAAAAGGGACCAAAAAGAAAAAGAACCCAGAUAAAGAGGCUCCUCUGUCUCCAGACUUAUCAAGACUGAUACACGUACUCAGACAAGCACCAAAGGACUGAAAGUGCAUGCGCAGAGAGGAAGAGUUCUAAAGUUCAACCAUGAGGAAGACCACAAUCUUCAGCUUCAAGAGACCACCAGGGACCCCCGUACGACCACCACAGCAAACCGCGUGUGCCCAGAAGGGCGUCGACUUAUUUAGCAUUAGGGGCGAGGGCAGACAGGGGCCAGGAGUUAAAUAGGCAUGGAAAAGUUGUGUAAUGUAUUGCAUAUGGAACACCUUUGGGAAUAAAAGUUUGGGUCAGACUAAAGCUCAGUGUGCAAGUCUUGGAGAAAUAUCUCACUUGUGCCGGGUGCUGAGAAUACAUACCUACUUCAUAACUACCCCAAGCUGUGGAGCCUAUUUAUUUAUUCCACGGAUCUCUUCACGAGGACGAGACAUUAUUUUUGUGUAUGCACAACAAUUUUUUACACCUCACACUACAAGCAAGCGGGGCCACCCAGGCCUCACCCGGAGAGCCCCGAGCCAUGUACCCCACUAUGUUGACAGCCCUGAGUCCUGCUGCGGAGGGCGGGCGGCGCUUUGCUGCCUUGAAGCGGAAAAAAAAAAUUAAAAAAUAAAAAUUGUGU
rnacentral:lncRNA from 1 species